rnacentral:lncRNA from 1 species
UUGCUUAUAUUAUUACUACAAAUUAUUUGGUGGCUGACAAUCAUUGUUCCAGUAAAUUUUCAUGAAUACCUCUUAACAGGAGCUAUUCAAACUUAUGAUUUUAUAUGCAAUAUUGUGCUACAUAAGUUGGAAGCUACUAAUAAUGGUUCCAUAAUAUCAUGAGAUUUUUGCAAUGCCUAUCACACCUGUUAUGAAGGGUCUUUAAACCUUAUUGGUGCACCCC